AUAGAGCAAAAUAUAGAGGAAUGC
rnacentral:sRNA from 1 species